rnacentral:rRNA from 1 species
CAGCCGCCGCGGUAAUACGAAGGGUGCAAGCGUUAAUCGGAAUUACUGGGCGUAAAGCGUGCGUAGGCGGUGAGUUAAGUCUGCUGUGAAAUCCCCGGGCUCAACCUGGGAAUGGCAAUGGAUACUGGCAAGCUAGAGUGUGUCAGAGGAUGGUGGAAUUCCCGGUGUAGCGGUGAAAUGCGUAGAGAUCGGGAGGAACAUCAGUGGCGAAGGCGGCCAUCUGGGACAACACUGACGCUCAUGCACGAAAGCGUGGGGAGCAAACAGGAUUAGAUACCCCCGUAGUCCCUGUCUCUUAUAC